AACUUUUGACAAUGGAUCUCUUGGCUCCCGCAUCGAUGAAGAACGCAGCGAAAUGCGAUAAGUAAUGUGAAUUGCAGAAUUCAGUGAAUCAUCGAAUCUUUGAACGCACCUUGCGCCCUUUGGCUAUUCUGAAGGGCAUGCCUGUUUGAGUAUCAUGAACACCUCAACUCUCAUGGUCCGCCAUGAUGAGCUUGGACUUUGGGGGUCUUGCCGGCCCAGUGUCGGCUCCUCUCAAAUGGAUCAGCUUGCCAGUGUUUGGUGGCGUCACAGGUGUGAUAACUAUCUACGCUUGUGGUUUUCUGCCAUAUAACCUUCAGUGAUGGAGGUUCUCUGGAGCUCACAGAUGUCUCUCCUUGGGGAGGACAGCUUUUGAACGUUUGAUCUCAAAUCAGGUAGGACUACCCGCUGAACUUAAGCAUAUCAAUAAGCGGU
rnacentral:misc_RNA from 1 species